UGGCGAACGGGUGAGUAAUAUAUCGGAACGUACCCUUGGGUGGGGGAUAACGUAGCGAAAGUUACGCUAAUACCGCAUACGAUCUACGGAUGAAAGUGGGGGCUCCGCAAGGACCUCAUGCUCAUGGAGCGGCCGAUAUCUGAUUAGCUAGUUGGUAGGGUAAAAGCCUACCAAGGCAUCGAUCAGUAGCUGGUCUGAGAGGACGACCAGCCACACUGGAACUGAGACACGGUCCAGACUCCUACGGGAGGCAGCAGUGGGGAAUUUUGGACAAUGGGCGAAAGCCUGAUCCAGCAAUGCCGCGUGAGUGAAGAAGGUUUUCGGAUCGUAAAGCUCUGUUGUGAGGGAAGAACAAGUACGGGAGUAACUGCCCGUACCUUGACGGUACCUCAUUAGAAAGCCACGGCUAACUACGUGCCAGCAGCCGCGGUAAUACGUAGGUGGCAAGCGUUGUCCGGAAUUAUUGGGCGUAAAGCGCGCGCAGGCGGUCCUUUAAGUCUGAUGUGAAAGCCCACGGCUCAACCGUGGAGGGUCAUUG
rnacentral:rRNA from 1 species